rnacentral:rRNA from 5 species
CGUAUCACUUAAAGCGAUUCAGCGGGUUACGAUUGACGGAGCGAAGCGACGUCAAAGCGUAUACAAAGUCGAGUCGGUUUAAGGAUACGUUCGUUGGGUAGGGGAGCGUUCUGUAAGCCUGUGAAGGUGGCCUGUGAGGGUUGCUGGAGGUAUCAGAAGUGCGAAUGCUGACAUAAGUAACGAUAAAGCGGGUGAAAAGCCCGCUCGCCGGAAGACCAAGGGUUCCUGUCCAACGUUAAUCGGGGCAGGGUGAGUCGACCCCUAAGGCGAGGCCGAAAGGCGUAGUCGAUGGGAAACGGGUUAAUAUUCCCGUACUUGGUGUUACUGCGAAGGGGGGACGGAGAAGGCUAUGUUGGCCGGGCGACGGUUGUCCCGGUUUAAGCGUGUAGGUGUGUGUUCCAGGUAAAUCCGGUU